rnacentral:sRNA from 1 species
UCACCACUGGACGGUGGCGACCGCGAGGUACUGGGGAGUACCGCUGACCGGUGGGCACCGAGUCCGGGCCACAGCCAAGGGAAUGUGCUCGGGCGUUUCAGUGAAGGAG